UAUCCACCUCUGGUAACACAGGUCUCCUAAGGUGAGCUCAGGGAGGUCAGAAACCUCCCGUGGAGCAUAAGGGCAAAAGCUCACUUAAUCUUGAUUUUCAUUACUAAUACAGACCACGAAAGUGAGGCCUCACAAUCCUUCUGACCUUUUGGGUUUUAAGCAAGAG
rfam:Pongo abelii chromosome 9.